rnacentral:rRNA from 1 species
GAUGAACGCUGGCGGCGUGCUUAACACAUGCAAGUCGAACGAUGAAAGCGGGAGCUUGCUCCUGCUGGAUUAGUGGCGAACGGGUGAGUAACACGUGAGUAACCUGCCCUUGACUCUGGGAUAAGCGUUGGAAACGACGUCUAAUACCGGAUACGACCUUCGGAGGCAUCUCCUGGGGGUGGAAAGAAUUUCGGUCAAGGAUGGACUCGCGGCCUAUCAGCUAGUUGGUGAGGUAAUGGCUCACCAAGGCGACGACGGGUAGCCGGCCUGAGAGGGUGACCGGCUACACUGGGACUGAGACACGGCCCAGACUCCUACGGGAGGCAGCAGUGGGGAAUAUUGCACAAUGGGCGAAAGCCUGACGGAGCAAUGCCGCGUGAGGGAGGAAGGCCCGUGGGUCGUAAACCUCUUUUCUUGGAGAAGAAUUCUUGACGGUAUCCGAGGAAAAAGCAUCGGCUAACUCUGUGCCAGCCGCCGCGGUAAGAC